UACAGAGGUAGCAAACGUUGUCCGGAUUCACUGGGCGUAAAGGGAUCGUAGGCGGUCAUUUAAGUCAGGUGUGAAAUCGUUCAGCUCAACUGAACAAUCGCAUUUGAUACUGAUUGGCUUGAGUGCAGAAGGGGAAACUGGAAUUUCCGGUGUAGCGGUGAAAUGCGUAGAUAUCGGAAAGAACACCCGUGGCGAAGGCGGGUUUCUGGUCUGCAACUGACGCUGAGGAUCGAAAGCUAGGGGAGCAAACGGG
rnacentral:rRNA from 1 species